UACGAAGGAUCCAAGCGUUGUCCGGAUUUACUGGGUUUAAAGGGAGCGUAGGCGGAUCUUUAAGUCAGUGGUGAAAGCCUGGAGCUUAACUCCAGAAUUGCCAUUGAAACUGAAGAUCUCGAGUAUGGUUGAGGUUACUGGAAUGUUGCAUGUAGCGGUGAAAUGCGCAGAUAUCAGGAGGAACACCGGUGGCGAAGGCGGGUCUCUGGGCCGUAACUGACGCUGAGGAGCGAAAGCGUGGGGAGCGAACAGG
rnacentral:rRNA from 1 species